UUGACAAGUGAUAGUUCGUCGUCAUGUCUUUUCAUUGGAAUUUUCAUGUCUUCUCAGCACACUUGUAAGUUUUGGCAUGUUAAAGUAUUUUGUGUAAUUGUUACAUCAUGAUGAAAACAUGUGCUACAUGUGUGUUGAUGGAAAGCGAUCUAUUUGCAUUUAGACUGACUGAGAGCUAUCAGUUUUUCCUUUCGAGAAAAAUAAAAGGCCAACACCAUGGUUAAAAAGGGUUUUUGUUAACCAUGCUCAAAGUUGCCACUACUCGUGUAUCAUCCAAGCUAUCAUGUGUGUUGAUGGAAAGCGAUCUGUAGAUUUGCAUUUAGACUGACUGAGAGCUAUCAGUUUGUCCUUUCGAGAAAAAUAAAAGGCCAACACCAUGGUUAAAAAAGGGUUUUUGUUAACCAUGCUCAAAGUUGCCACUACUCGUGUAUCAUCCAAGCUAUCAUGUGUGUUGAUGGAAAGCGAUCUAUUUGCAAUUAGACUGACUGAAAGCUAUCAGAUUGUCCUUUCGAGAAAAAUAAAAGGCCAACACCAUGGUCAAAAAAGGGUUUUUGUUGACCCCUUGGUUGCUACACAUUCAAUCCUCAUAUCCUUGGAAUGGACCCACUCUUAUUUAGAGGUUAAUCCCUCGCCCCUACUCAAUAGACGGAAUUAAUUGGCCGUGCAUCACCAACUUAUAUCGGAUGGGCGCUCCGUAUUGAAAACUAUUGCUAAAUUUCAUAAAGCUUUACAUAAUUUUGCUUGGACAAUCAUGUGUAAGUGGUGUAUAAAAUGAAAUUCGUGUUGAAUACAAAUUUUAAAUCGCGUGA